GACGAACGCUGGCGGCGUGCUUAACACAUGCCAGUCGAACGGAAAGGCCCUGCUUUUGUGGGGUGCUCGAGUGGCGAACGGGUGAGUAACACGUGAGUAACCUGCCCUUGACUUUGGGAUAACUUCAGGAAACUGGGGCUAAUACCGGAUCGGAGCUCCUGCUGCAUGGUGGGGGUUGGAAAGUUUCGGCGGUUGGGGAUGGACUCGCGGCUUAUCAGCUUGUUGGUGGGGUAGUGGCUUACCAAGGCUUUGACGGGUAGCCGGCCUGAGAGGGUGACCGGCGACAUUGGGACUGAGAUACGGCCCAGACUCCUACGGGAGGCAGCAGUGGGGAAUAUUGCACAAUGGGCGGAAGCCUGAUGCAGCAACGCCGCGUGCGGGAUGACGGCCUUCGGGUUGUAAACCGCUUUCGCCUGUGACGAAGCGUGAGUGACGGUAAUGGGUAAAGAAGCACCGGCUAACUACGUG
rnacentral:rRNA from 1 species